rnacentral:rRNA from 1 species
UACCUACGGGGGGCAGCAGUGGGGAAUAUUGCACAAUGGGGGAAACCCUGAUGCAGCGACGCCGCGUGAGCGAUGAAGUAUUUCGGUAUGUAAAGCUCUAUCAGCAGGGAAGAAGAUGACGGUAUCUGACUAAGAAGCCCCGGCUAACUACGUGCCAGCAGCCGCGGUAAUACGUAGGGGGCAAGCGUUAUCCGGAUUUACUGGGUGUAAAGGGAGCGUAGACGGCGGUGCAGACCAGAUGUGAAAGCCCGGGGCGCAACCCCGGGACAGCAUUUGGAAAUGUAUGGCGGGAGUGUCGUGGAGGG